GCUCCGGUAGCCUAGUGGUUAGAGCGUCCGCCUCAUAUUCGGAAGGUCGCGAGUUCGAACCCCGACCGAGUCA